rnacentral:misc_RNA from 1 species
AGGUCGUAACAAGGUUUCCGUAGGUGAACCUGCGGAAGGAUCAUCAAUAAUCCAAAUGAUCAGUGACUUAAAAAACCACUGGUCUAACCUUCUUGUGAACCGUUUAUUGUUUAUUGGUUGGGAGUAUAACUGAGAUGUCAACUUUGUUGUCGGAUCGACUCCCAAUCGAUUAUCUUUAUACAAACUAUUUUAUUUUUGAAGUUGAUUAUUUUACAGGAAACUGUACUAAUAUAUAUACAACUUAUAGCGAUGGAUCUCUAGGCUCUG